AAAAAAAAAAGAGUGUUAAUUCUUAUCUGAAAUUCAUGGCACACUAGGCUGGAAAAAAAAUAAUUUUGUGUCCUUUUAAAUUCCUAGAGUACCUCUCAACUUCAAUCACAAUUUAAUUCCAGGGCAGGUAACCUGGGCUCCUAGCUAACACUACACCCCAAGAGUCUGGGAGCCAAAUUAUUUUGCAAACCCUUAAAAAAAAAAAAUUUAUCCUUGUAUCUCUGCGAAAAUUAGCAUUUUGAACAUCUAAUGAAACUUCAAGUUUGAGGAUAAUGGGAUUACUGACCUUUAAUUUCAAAAUAACAAAUUUUCUUAAAAUCUGAUUUAAAAAUAUGGAAACAUUGAAAAGUAAACAUAAAUUCUACAAAGCUGAAUGGCAGCAAAAAAUACUUCUUUAUAUCAAGAACAUAUACAAAAGAUCGUCAUUGCCACCCAAAUUAUCUCUGUUGCUCAAAAUUGCAAUUAUAAAAAUAACCAAAUCAAGACAAGGACAAUUACAGCUUAAAACGAAAAGCUACACCUUCUUCAUUAAAAGUGAGCAUCUUGUCACACUGUACAUCUGGAGAGAGAACCUGUACAAGGCACAGGAGAACUACCACGUCAAGGGACAGAACUUUUUCAAAAUAUUUUAUCCUCAGAAGUAAAUCCUGCUACCAUAGAAAGAGAAAAAUAUAAUCAGAUACUUAAAAUCACAGCAUUUUUGACAUCCUAGGGAAAAGGACUUUUUGGUUUUAUUUAUUUAUUUAUUUAUUUAUUUUAUUUUCUGGUAAGGCAAAAUAGAUCUUUAGAUAUCAUUUGUUACAAACACGAGUUUUUUCUUAAGAAUGAAAUAAAAAUUGUAUUUAAUUUCUAUCCUAUAUUUAUUCAAUGAAGUUGAAUACUAUGUUUAGAAAAUUAAAUUUUAAAUCAUAGUUUAUAUAGUGAUGCAUUUAAUCUAUGAAUUUACUUUAAAAACAUUUUUAUUUUGAAUAAUUAGACUCACUAGAAGUUAUAAAAAUAGUUGAGAGAGAUCCCAGGUACCCAUUGCUUAGCUUCCUGUCUUUACAUGUAAGCAUUUAUAUCUAGGUUUUAAAAGGAUUAAAGUUUUGAACAGUUGAUUAAAAAAAA